UGUACCAAGAAAUCCCGCUAAAAUAUAUUUUAUUAAGAGCCCGCGCUCCAUAGCGACCGAGAAUGUAGAUCCUUGCUCUGAGAUGGAGAACUCUCAAAUCCUUCGUCGGGGCUCUCGCCGGAAGCUCCAUUUUCCUUCGUUUCGAGGUUCGCCAGAGGGGAAUCGUCGCCGCCGAUUCAAGUGUCCUGACGUAUCCGUGCACCAGUUUCUCCGGCGGUUUGAUGUUGGCUCGCGGUUCCAUGGUCGCUACGCACCUUCCAUCGUUGUCGUCGUCGCUGCUCCUCUUAAUCGCCCGCGGCUCUAUUCGCUCCUUCGAUUGCUAUUCCUCUGGGAGUAGCGAUGACUCCGGCGGCUUUAUCUCCGAUCCUCCGCUGCGUUUUCAUCUCCGCUGCCAUAUAUCCUGCUCCACGACGCUCCGGGGAUGACGAAAUCCAUCAACUGAGAGCCACACCUGCCAGGUCGCUUCGUCUCCGAUUAAUUUUAGAAUUGAUUUCGGUUGCUUUCGGAUUUGUCUUUUGAUUUCUGUUCUGUUUUGUGUCAAUUCUGAUGUUGUUCAUAAGAAAACAGAGGGACCAAUGAGCUUGAGGGCGUUCCGUGGAGAUGAAGUCGGGCCGUUGGAACGUGAACCAUAGCAACAGCCGCCUCAUGAUUGCCGUGCGUGUCAUCACCUUAUCACCGCCAGGUUGUUUCUUUUCCAAUUAAGUGAUUCGACUUCUUGGGCUCUUUGUCUAUAUCGCAUGUGGAGGAGGGACUUAUUUUGGCCGUACAAAAGAAGAAGAAGGGGCUCUCAUAUUCUAUAUAUACUUGUGGGUUCAGUAGAUUUGUCAGAGGAAGAAAAAUGCAAAGGCGUGGGUUCUAAUUUUCUCAUCCCCUUCAGCCGCGUAAAAAGAAAAGUAAAAAGGUGGAGGUGUCCUUCUAGCUACGCGGAGAGGAAGAGGAACUCACGGUGAUCGUUUUUUGCGCGAAGAGUUACAUCCUCCCUUCUCUUUCCGGAGAUGCGGGUGUUUCAAACCGUAAUUCUUCUUAAGGCUAAACACUGUGCUUUAGGUGGAAUGAGAAGCGCUUGAAAAUGUGAGCUGUCGUACUUUAUAAUCCUUCGAUUGAUUAGUGGAUAAUUUGCAACCGAUCUCCCUCUAAAGUAGAUACUGACACUGGGACUUCAUGCAUUUCUUAUUGUUCCUUGUUGAUUUAUCUGGUUAUUUCA